AUAACCCAACACCUUCUCAGCCUUCUCUCAUGAUUUUGAAGUCUGCGGAUUCCAGUGGUUCAAUUGCUUGUUUAGCAAGGGAUUUCUACCCUCCUGAACUGAAGAUGUCCAUGAAUGCUGACAGCCCAGUUCUAUAUGAAACCACUGAGCCUGUCCUUUCAUCUGGAAAAUACCGUGCUGUAAAGGUUGCCAACAUUACAUCGAACCAAGAUGUGCAUUGCUCAGUACAACACCACAACCAAAAGUUUAAUAAAAUUCUCGCCUCAGAGAGACCACCAGUUUUAACAACUCCUGGACCUACCACAAGCUUGACUGAGGCCUGCAGAACUUCAACUCCUAACCUUGAAGUUUUAACAACUCCUGGACCUACCACAAGCUUGACUGAGGCCUGCAGAACUUCAACUCCUAACCUUGAAGAUGAAGAUAUGGAGAAAAUGAAUGCGCUGUCUAUGAUUGUGCUGGGCUUGAGGGUGUUGCUAAUGAAAAGCAUUGCCUUGAAUAUGCUUAUGGUUGGACGAAAUGAGCCACCAAUGGGUUGA